ACGCUCGACACCUACGGGAGGCAGCAGUGGGGAAUAUUGCACAAUGGGGGAAACCCUGAUGCAGCGACGCCGCGUGGAGGAAGAAGGUCUUCGGAUUGUAAACUCCUGUUGUUGGGGAAAAAGAGGAUGGUACCCAACAAGGAAGUGACGGCUAACUACGUGCCAGCAGCCGGUAAUCUGAGCGGGCUGGCAAGGC
rnacentral:rRNA from 1 species